rnacentral:rRNA from 1 species
CCUACGGGUGGCAGCAGUGGGGAAUAUUGGACAAUGGGGGCAACCCUGAUCCAGCCAUGCCGCGUGUGUGAAGAAGGCCCUCGGGUUGUAAAGCACUUUCAGUGAGGAAGAACGCCUGGUGGUUAAUACCCAUCAGGAAAGACAUCACUCACAGAAGAAGCACCGGCUAACUCCGUGCCAGCAGCCGCGGUAAUACGGAGGGUGCGAGCGUUAAUCGGAAUUACUGGGCGUAAAGCGCGCGUAGGUGGCUUGAUAAGCCGGUUGUGAAAGCCCCGGGCUCAACCUGGGAACGGCAUCCGGAACUGUCAAGCUAGAGGGCAGGAGAGGAAGGUAGAAUUCCCGGUGUAGCGGUGAAAUGCGUAGAGAUCGGGAGGAAUACCAGUGGCGAAGGCGGCCUUCUGGACUGACACUGACACUGAGGUGCGAAAGCGUGGGUAGCAAACAGGAUUAGAUACCCCGGUAGUC